CAUAAGCUACUUUACCAUACGAACACAGAUAUACAAACUUAUUGCAUAUUAGAAACACAGAAGUUCACGUAAACCUCUUCUUAUGCUUGGUUUUCACUAUGUCAUAUUUGACGUCAAAUGUUGUCAGUUGAAAUAAAACGGGUUGUCAUAUGGCAUCAAAUGCGUUCGUUGUCAUAUAUGACCACGCACGGUCAUAUAAAAUGACAGCCAAGUGAAAACGGCCUUAAUUUAAUUUGACCGCCAAUGUGGCAACAUUUGACACCUAAAAUUAAUUUGCCAGCAUGUUGGCAAUUUGUUUUCGUUUGACGCGUGCACAGCUGUUUUUCUUCUGCAUCAAUUUGCAGCAAAGUGUCAAAAUAUGAUUGUUCGUUAGCCCAAGCGGUAGCACCAGUGGAACGAAGAAGCGGGUGCGAAAAGGAAAAGUGGACAAAUGAGCAAAUGGAGAGGCUGGUGCAAGAAGUAGAAGCUAGAGAAGGCACGUGGAAUUUUCUUUCCACUGAAUACAGGGACAGGAAUUUGCGAGAGGCUCAAUGGCAAGAUGUGGCGGAUAUUUUGAAGAUGCCGCGAUCGGAAGUUUCAGCCAAGUGGAACAGCCUUCGCUGCUCUUUCCGCGCGGCCUUCAAUAGAAAAGGACAUACCAAAAGUGGGCAAGGAGCAGGAAGAGGGACUGCAAUGAGCCCGCUUUACAAUUCCCUCAAAUUUCUUGAGCCGACAUUGAAAAUUGAGGCCAGCACAACAUCAAAUUUAGG